GUCUACGGCCAUACCACCCUGAACGCGCCCGAUCUCGUCUGAUCUCGGAAGCUAAGCAGGGUCGGCCCGGUUAGUACUUGGAUGGAGACCGCCUGGAAUACCGGUGCUGUAGGCU
rnacentral:rRNA from 1 species